UCGGGAGAGAUGAAAGUCGGCCUUAGUGAUCCGACGGUGCCGAGUGGAAGGGCCGUCGCUCAACGGAUAAAAGUUACUCUAGGGAUAACAGGUUGAUCUUCCCCAAGAGUCCACAUCGACGGGAAGUUUUGGCACCUCGAUGUCGCCUCUUCGCCACCUGGAGCUAUAGGUGGUUCCAAGGGUUGGGCUGUUCGCCCAUUAAUGCGGUAUGUGAACUGGGUUCAGAACAUCGUGAGACAAUUCGGUCCAUAUCCGGUGUGGGCGUUAGAGCAUUGAGAGGACCUUUCCCUAGUACGAGAGGACCGGGAAGGACGCACCUCUGGUGUACCAGUUAUCGUGCCUACGGUAAACGCUGGGUAGCCAAGUGCGGAGAGGAUAACUGCUGAAAGCAUAUAAGUAGUAAGCCCACCCCAAGAUGAGUGCUCUCUCCUC
rnacentral:rRNA from 1 species